GAAACCUUUAAGAAACAAGCCGUUAGUUGUACUCUCUCUCUCUCAUCCGAACCAAACUUGAAUUGUUCCCUGAAAUCCCCCACGAUUCUAUCCUAAUUUACAGCCGUUGCCACUCCCUCCCGAUCUGCAAAUCUAUUCGAACUAGCCCUCACAUUUCUGCUUCGUUUCCCCCUCUUUUCUCUCUCUACAUUUACUCAAAUAUAUACACAUAUGCGCGUAGUAUUUAUAGAUUAAUGUUUCUCCUCUGGGUUUGACAACAUUAACUGGUUGAAAUAUGCGGAUUCUGUGGAUAUUUUAUUAAAAAGGAAUGUGGAAUGUGGAGUGUGGAUUGCUUUUCAGCUGAGUUUCGUUUCUAAUUAUUUAGUUUUAAUCCUCGAUCUGUGAAGUUAGUGAUUUCAAUUUGCUUGUCAAGAAAUUGGGUUGGAGAAAUGCAGGGUUUUAUCGAGCUUGAAUGGUUCAGAAUGUUGAUUGAGAGUUGAGGAGUGCUUUUUUAAUAUAUUCACUGGGGGAUGAAUGGGAGUCUGAGACAGAAGGACAGCAAGGAUGAGGAGCUAGCAUUGUUUCAAGAAAUGCGCAAGCUCGAAAAGGAACGGAAUAAUCUUCUUCUUCUUCAAAACUCCGAUGAAUUUGAUGCUCUACUUGGUAUUAAAAAAGUUUGAAUUUU
rnacentral:lncRNA from 1 species